rfam:Danio rerio chromosome 20, GRCz11 reference primary assembly.
GUCAGAAUGGCCGAGUGGUCUAAGGCGCCAGACUCAAGAUGAAUCAAUCUUCUCAAGGAAUGAGGAUUCUGGUCUCCAGAUGGAGGCAUGGGUUCAAAUCCCACCUCUGACA